rnacentral:rRNA from 1 species
AUUGAACGCUGGCGGCAGGCCUAACACAUGCAAGUCGAACGAGCGGCGGACGGGUGAGUAAUGUCUGGGAAACUGCCCGAUGGAGGGGGAUAACUACUGGAAACGGUAGCUAAUACCGCAUACCAUCGGAUGUACCCAGAUGGGAUUAGCUAGUAGGUGGGGUAACGGCUCACUUAGGCGACGAUCCCUAGCUGUCCUGAGAGGAUGACCAGCCACACUGGAACUGCGACACGGUCCAGACUCCUACGGGAGGCAGCAGUGGGGAAUAUUGCACAAUGGGCGCAAUCCUGAUGCAGCCAUGCCGCGUGUAUGAAGAAGGCCUUCGGGUUGUAAAGUACUUUCAGCGAGGAGGCGUUACUCGCAGAAGAAGCACCGGCUAACUCCGUGCCAGCAGCCGCGGUAAUAG